GCAUUGCGGCAGCUAACACAUGCAGUCGAGCGGUAGAGAGAAGCUUGCUUCUCUUGAGAGCGGCGGACGGGUGAGUAAAGCCUAGGAAUCUGCCUGGUAGUGGGGGAUAACGUUCGGAAACGGACGCUAAUACCGCAUACGUCCUACGGGAGAAAGCAGGGGACCUUCGGGCCUUGCGCUAUCAGAUGAGCCUAGGUCGGAUUAGCUAGUUGGUGAGGUAAUGGCUCACCAAGGCGACGAUCCGUAACUGGUCUGAGAGGAUGAUCAGUCACACUGGAACUGAGACACGGUCCAGACUCCUACGGGAGGCAGCAGUGGGGAAUAUUGGACAAUGGGCGAAAGCCUGAUCCAGCCAUGCCGCGUGUGUGAAGAAGGUCUUCGGAUUGUAAAGCACUUUAAGUUGGGAGGAAGGGCAUUAACCUAAUACGUUAGUGUUUUGACGUUACCGACAGAAUAAGCACCGGCUAACUCUGUGCCAGCAGCCGCGGUAAUACAGAGGGUGCAAGCGUUAAUCGGAAUUACUGGGCGUAAAGCGCGCGUAGGUGGUUUGUUAAGUUGGAUGUGAAAUCCCCGGGCUCAACCUGGGAACUGCAUUCAAAACUGACUGACUAGAGUAUGGUAGAGGGUGGUGGAAUUUCCUGUGUAGCGGUGAAAUGCGUAGAUAUAGGAAGGAACACCAGUGGCGAAAGCGACCACCUGGACUAAUACUGACACUGAGUGCGAAAGCGUGGGGAGCAAACAGGAUUAGAUACCCUGGUAGUCCACGCCGUAACGAUGUCAACUAGCCGUUUGGGGAGCCUUGAGCUCUUAGUGGCGCAGCUAACGCAUUAAGUUGACCGCCUGGGGGAGUACGGCCGCAAGGUGAAAACUCAAUGAAUUGACGGGGGCCCGCACAAGCGUGAGCAUGUGGUUAAGUCGAAGCCAUCGCGAAGAACCUAGCAGGCGUGACAUCAUGACUUCUAGAGAAUAGAUGCUGCUUCAGGUACCAUGAAAACGGUGGCUGCCAUGACUGUCGUUCACUCAGGUCUGGCAUGUUUAGGUAAAGCUCCCGUUACCGA
rnacentral:rRNA from 1 species